rnacentral:rRNA from 1 species
UACGUAGGCAGCGAGCGUUGUUCGGAAUUACUGGGCGUAAAGAGUGUGUAGGCGGUGCUCUAAGUCUGUCGUGAAAUCUCCCGGCUCAACUGGGAGGGUGCGCCGGAAACUGCGAGGCUAGAGUGUGGGAUGGGAGAGUGGAAUUCCUGGUGUAGCGGUGAAAUGCGUAGAUAUCAGGAGGAACACCUGCGGUGUAGACGGCUCUCUGGACCACUACUGACGCUGAAACACGAAAGCGUGGGUAGCAAACAGG